UAACGCGUGGGUAACCUGCCUCAUACAGGGGAGUAACAGUUAGAAAUGACUGCUAAUACCGCAUAAGCGCACAGUACCACAUGGUACGGUGUGAAAAACUCCGGUGGUAUGAGAUGGACCCGCGUCUGAUUAGCUAGUUGGUGAGGUAACGGCUCACCAAGGCGACGAUCAGUAGCCGACCUGAGAGGGUGAUCGGCCACAUUGGGACUGAGACACGGCCCAG
rnacentral:rRNA from 1 species